ensembl:lncRNA
UCCUCCAUCUCUGGAAUAUCUUUGGAGACAUCAGGUUCUUCUCCUACAGAAGGGAAAUACAUAUUUCUUUAACCUAAUCUUAAUCAAAUGAUUUUACAGUACACCAUGGUUAUUAUAAUAAACUAAACUAAAAUUAAAUAAAAUAAAACUAAAACCAUUAAAAACAUUUUACUUAAAAUAAAAGAAACAAAGUGGGAUCAAAUAAAAAGAAAACAAACUACAUUUAUUUCAGUUAGUUGACAACAUCUCUAAUUUUCGUUUAGUUUAAGUUGAAAUACAAAAUAACUAAAACUGAAAUACAUAUUAAUAAAAAUGUAUUUUAUUUCAGUAUUUCAAAUAUAUACACACAAGCAUAAAUAUCUUACCUUUUACUUCCUUGCCCACAACAGCCUCCUUCUUAGUUGGCUCGACUACCGAUUACAGAACAUUCACAAAACAUCAGUUUACAUGUUAUGCAAUUAGUAUAUGUUCCCCACAGUCAGAAUACAUGGGCUGCACUUAAUACCUAAACAGUUUGUCAUACCACUUUAUAACUGGUACAUUUAAAAUAAAAUAAAAAUCUAAUAAGAAAAGCAUACCUUUUUCUUUGACCUGCUUAGGUUCUAAAACCAAAACAAAUAUAGCUGUUUGUUAUGUGCUGGAUUGCUCUGAUUUUAUUAGACAUGUGAUGUGAUUAAUAUUUCCAUUAUAUCUUCUUAAGGAAUAUCAGAUUCCUGUUCAUGUCUACACAUGCAUUUUUAGCAAGUACUAUUUGUAGAUAAGAUUUCUAUACUCUUAUGAGUCAACUAUUAUAUACUAGUCAGACAUCAUAUGAUCAAGCAUAAUGUCAAGCCUGUUGAUGAAUUUAUAAACUAAUGAAUAUUCUUGGAGUGUAAAAAUACAGAACUUUGCUGAAAUGAAGAAUUAUAUUAAAAGUCAUUAGUAAAUCAGCCAUAGUACCUUUCUGUAAAGGUUCCUUUACUUGUUUGACCUUCUCAUGGGUGAUUUCUAGCAUCAGGAGAGAGAUUUUUAGUCACUGAUACAACAAUAAGAACAACUUAUCUUUUUACUUAGCACUCCUUUAGAAAACUAGAAGAAAGUGAUUGUGGUACAGUAGGUGAUUUCAGUUGUUGACAGUAGAUAUAUAUUUUACCUUUCUUUUUGGGCUGUGGUCUGAUCUUAGCUUUUGGAGCCUCUUUAUCUAGAAUAGAAAAGUGAAUCAUUUCUUGGACAUAAUGGAUAUAAAUCAUUUGUUUUGAUAACCUUUAUUCUAAAUAACAGUUCAAAGUGAUUUACAAAGAAACAAGAAUAAAAUUAAUAUUUAAAAAUAAGAAAUUUUGUGGUCUUAAUUGCCCACAAAAAUCACAGAAUCCAUAAAAUCAAAAUCAAAUUCUGUCAAAUAACAUAUGCAUAUUUGUAUAAUACAGCUGCUGUUACAAAGCUUUCCGACAUACCUUUCUUUGCAGGUGCUGGUUUAGUGAUGUUUUUCAGUGCAUCACGUUCUGUGUAGUGAAGAAGACAAUGAGAGCUGGAUAUAAUUUACAUUCAUCUUGUACUGUAUUAAUUUUGUAAUGUAUAUUUCAUUUAAUUCAUGUAAUGAACAAUCAUUAUACAGCAAAAAAACAACAGCAUAUGCCUGGGUGAUUUCACUGUCACCCAUACCUUUCUUUAAAGGAGCCAGUUUAACUUUAUCUUUUAUCUUUUUGAUGAUUUCAGCUUCUGAAAUAAAAAUAAUUAGUUGAAUAAGAAAAACUUGAUAUAUAUACUUGAUAUAUAUAUUAUAAAACUUGAUAUAUAUAUUAGAAUAUUCUAAUAGUGCUCUUAAGAAGCUUCAGUCUCUGGCAAAUUCCAAAAGAAAAGAAAAAAAAAGAAAACUUCCUGAAAAUAAUAGGUUAUAUAUGAGAAUUACCUGCUUUAAUAUGUGCUGUAACGUUCAUCAGAGCAUCAUGGUCUAGAAAAGAAAAAUCUUUCACUUACCCACAGGUGAACACUACAGUGGAAAUCAUAAUUUUACAGUCUGGUUCCUGUUUUUUUUUUUUGUAGCUCAUUAUGUCUAUAAUUCAUAAU